rnacentral:rRNA from 1 species
GUGGGGAAUAUUGCACAAUGGGGGGAACCCUGAUGCAGCGAUGCCGCGUGGAGGAAGAAGGUUUUCGGAUUGUAAACUCCUGUCUUAAAGGACGAUAAUGACGGUACUUUAGGAGGAAGCUCCGGCUAACUACGUGCCAGCAGCCGCGGUAAUACGUAGGGAGCGAGCGUUGUCCGGAAUUACUGGGUGUAAAGGGAGCGUAGGCGGGAUUGCAAGUCAGAUGUGAAAUACGUGGGCUUAACCCACGGGCUGCAUUUGAAACUGUAGUUCUUGAGUGAAGUAGAGGCAAGCGGAAUUCCUGGUGUAGCGGUGAAAUGCGUAGAUAUCAGGAGGAACACCGGUGGCGAAGGCGGCUUGCUGGGCUUUUACUGACGCUGAGGCUCGAAAGCGUGGGGAGCAAACAGG